UGCCAGCAGCCGCGGUAAUACGGAGGGUGCAAGCGUUGUUCGGAAUCACUGGGCAUAAAGCGCACGUAGGCGGUUCAGUAAGUGUGAAGUGAAAUCCCACGGCUCACCCGUGGAACUGCUUUGCAUACUGCUGGACUCGAGAAAGGUAGGGGAGAGCAGAACUCUUGGAGGAGCGGUGAAAUGCGUAGAUAUCAAGAGGAAUACCAGUGGCGAAGGCGGCUCUCUGGUCCUUUUCUGACGCUGAGGUGCGAAAGCUAGGGUAGCGAACGGGAUUAGAUA
rnacentral:rRNA from 1 species